rnacentral:miRNA from 1 species
CAACGAUCUGGAGGCAAUUGAC